rnacentral:rRNA from 1 species
UACGUAGGGGGCAAGCGUUGUCCGGAUUUACUGGGCGUAAAGAGCGCGCAGGCGGUCGUUCAAGUCGCGUGUGAAAGCCCCCGGCUCAACUGGGGAGGGUCACGCGAUACUGAUCGACUCGAAGGCAGGAGAGGGUAGUGGAAUUCCCGGUGUAGUGGUGAAAUGCGUAGAUAUCGGGAGGAACACCAGUGGCGAAGGCGACUACCUGGCCUGUUCUUGACGCUGAGGCGCGAAAGCUAGGGGAGCAAACGGG